GACGAACGCUGGCGGCGUGCUUAACACAUGCAAGUCGAACGGUAAGGCCCUGUUUCUGUGGGGUGCUCGAGUGGCGACCGGGUGAGUCACACGUGGGUAACCUGCCUUUGCCUUUGGGAUAUCUUCAUGAAACUGGGGCUAAUACUGGUUCUGAGCUCUUGCUGAAUGGUGGGGGUUGGCACGCUUAGGCUGUUGGGGAUGGAUGUGCGGCUUAUUAGCUUGCUGGUUGGGUAGUGUCUUACCACGAUUUUGACUGGUAGCCUGCCUGAUGGGGUGGACGGCCACAAGGGGAAUGAGUUACGGCCCGGCCUCCAACAGUAUGCAGGAGUGCGGAAGAUUGGACAAGGGGCGGAAGCCUGAUGCAGCAACGCCGCGUGCUGUAUGACGGCCAUCGGUUUGUAUACCGCUUUCCCCUGUGACGAAGCGUGAGUGACGGUAAUGGGUAAAUAAGCACCGGCUAACUACGUG
rnacentral:rRNA from 1 species